CGGAUCGGAGGGGCUUGCUCUUCUGGUUAGUGGCGAACGGGCGAGUAACACGUGAGUAACCUGCCCUUCACUCUGGGAUAACGUCGGGAAACCGGUGCUAAUACUGGAUAUGACCUGCUCGGGCAUCCGAUGUGGGUGGAAAGAUUUAUUGGUGGGGGAUGGACUCGCGGCCUAUCAGCUUGUUGGUGAGGUAAUGGCUUACCAAGGCGACGACGGGUAGCCGGCCUGAGAGGGCGAUCGGCCACACUGGGACUGAGACACGGCCCAGACUCCUACGGGAGGCAGCAGUGGGGAAUAUUGCACAAUGGGCGAAAGCCUGAUGCAGCGACGCCGCGUGAGGGAUGAAGGCCUUCGGGUUGUAAACCUCUUUCAGCAGGGAAGAAGCGCCUGGGUUUUCUCGGGUGUGACGGUACCUGCAGAAGAAGCACCGGCUAACUACGUGCCAGCAGCCGCGGUAAUACGUAGGGUGCAAGCGUUGUCCGGAAUUAUUGGGCGUAAAGAGCUUGUAGGUGGUUUGUCGCGUCUGUUGUGAAAUUUCGGGGCUCAACCCCGAACUUGCAGUGGAUACGGGCAGACUAGAGUGUGGUAGGGGAGACUGGAAUUCCUGGUGUAGCGGUGAAAUGCGCAGAUAUCAGGAGGAACACCGAUGGCGAAGGCAGGUCUCUGGGCCAUUACUGACACUGAGAAGCGAAAGCAUGGGGAGCGAACAGGAUUAGAUACCCUGGUAGUCCACGCCGUAAACGAUGGGUGCUAGGUGUGGGGGGUGU
rnacentral:rRNA from 1 species